GGUGCUCCAAUGAACCACCCAGGGAAUGGUGAUGAAGUGAAUGAGGACAAAGUGAUGGUAAAGCAGCUUCAUGGGUAGGAAACUCACAUCUCUAAGAAAUGCUGUGCAGAACUCUUUAGCAUCUCUGAGUUCUUGGAACAUAAGAAAAAAUCGCACUAAAAAUCCACCUGUCCUCACCAUGAAUGACAGCGAGGAGUCAGUGCCUUCAGAAGACUUUUGUGCAGCUGUACCAAGCCACCAGCCACCCAGUUCAAGCAGCGACAGUCCCAAGGAAAAUGGUGGCAGCUAAGGGUACAUAAAGGAGAAGCUGGGCGCAGAGUCUCUCUUGCACUUAAAGACAGAGACUGCCCUACCAUCCACACUCCAGAACAUAAGCUAUUUACCCAAAGGCAAAGUGGCCAAUAUUAAUGUGACUCUUCAGGCAUUACAAGGAGACAAGGGAGUGGUAAAUCAGUGAAGCUCAUAUGUGCUGCUGGCCCCUCUGCCCAGCACCAACAGCAUCUUUUCAACGACAGCAGAUCUAGCUCACUGAGCAGAUUUGCAUUCAAGUGAACUCGUGGGCCUCCCACACUCUCCACUCAGGCUAAUACCCUGAAGACCUUAGAUAGCCACAUGUCCAAGCAAGUUUCUGUAGCUGUGGCUUUGCUCAGCCAGAAAGCUGGAAGCCAAGGUCUGUCUCUGGACACCUUAAACAAGCCAAGCUAUCUCACCAGCAUCCCUUCUGCUGCCAGCUCUGUGACCCCAUGGCUGACACCCUUCACCCUGAAGCUGGAUAGGACACGGGUGCUCCUGAAUAUUGUGUCUCAGCUCCCAAGUGCUUUGCUACCUCAGGCUUGGGUUCUGUGCUCUUCCAGAGUCCUUUCUCUACUGUGGCAUUAUACCCAUCCAAGAAAGAGAAAGAUAAGCCACCAAACAUCUGAGAUGUGUGUCAAACCCAAAGACGAGGCCAUCCUCUACAAGCACAACUGUAAGAACUGUAGCAAGGUUUGGGAGACUGGUAGCUCCUUGCAGAUCUAUCCCCACAUGCAUACUGGAGAGAGACCCUUCAUGUUCUCUGUGUGUGGUCAUGGCUUCACCACCAAGGGUAACCUCAAGGUAUACUUUAAUCAAUAUCCCCAGGUGAAGGCAAACCCCCAGCUGUUUGCCAAGUUCCAGAACAAAAUGGUGGUAGGCAAUGGCACCCCAUGCACUCCCUGUACCUGUCCCCAUAGAUGAAUCCAGUCUCUCUUUAGACAGCAAACUUGUCCUUGUAACAAGGACCCCCUCCAUAGAACUAUCACAAAAUCUUUCUUCGGGGGUUAACCCCAAUGACCACAUGGGUGGCUCAUUGUUGGGCCUUCUCCAGAAAGUAAGGGUGGACCCACACUCCCUGGGGUGGUGCCAAACCAUAAUUCCCCAAGGGUUGGUGGCUUUCAAGGGAGUGGGACCACCAAGCCAGGGUCAGAGACCAUGAAAUUGCAGCAGCUGGUAGAGAACAGCAACAAGGCCACUUCUGACCCCAGUGAAUGUCUCAUUUGCCACCGAGUGUUAAGCUGCCAAAGUUCCUUCACAAUGCAUUUACAUUACCACACCCACAUUGGGGAGAGACCCAUCCUAUGUGAAAUCUGUGGACAAGCUUUUUCUACCAAAGGCAACGUAAAGACACUUCUCAGGGUUCAUGGAACCAACUCAUCCAUAAGUACAUACCCCAUUAGUCAAAAGAAAUUUGCCAGUGUGGUCAUGUUGCAACAACAUAUUUGGAUGAACAUGGGCACUCAGAUUCCCAGCAUGUCCCCGCCAGAGAAUCCCUGUGAUUUUAGGGGUCCUGAGCCAAUGAUGGUCAGUGAGAAUGGUAAUACAAGUGCCAUCUGCCAUGAUGAUGUUGAAAGAAGACACCACUGUGGAUAAAGUCAGCUCCCAGGAUGCCCCCAGUAGCUACUCAAAGGUCCUCACACCUCUUCUUAGCAUCCACUUAAUAUAACCCACCCUAGGGUUUGCCACAAAGGCUUCCCUAGCAGUCACCAGGAAAGUGGGUCCUGUUCCUUCUGGCCUGCAGAGGCAGAGCAGCUGAAAAACGAUUCAGUGGAGAGCAACAGUUUAAUGACUCAUUCUCACUGAUGGGACACCAGGACUAUUAGCCAAACUCCAGAUGCUGUGGAAACCACAUCCUUCCAGGCACGCUCCCUAGCAACUAGCCAAGCAGAAAGCAUUAUGACAAAGUCUCCAGAUGCUGGGAGCAAAGCUGAGCACCCCAAGAACAGCCACACUGAGAUGGGCUGUCUCCCAUCAACGUUUUUCUGAGCCCAGUCAACAUAUGUCAAAGUUCAUGGCACAUUUGUUGGAUCCUCAAUCAUGUCCCUGGUGUUAGCGGCCCAGCCACACUGACAGGCCAAGCAACACAGCUGCACACAGUGUGAGAAGAACUUCUUAUCCACUAGUGCUCUUCAGAUUCACAAGUGGACUCACACUAGAGAAUAGCCUUUUGUGUGCAGCAUACAUGGGCAAGCUUUUACCACCAAAGGCAACUUGAAGGUCCACUGUAUGACUCAUGGAGCAAACAAUAACUCAGCACACCAGAGAAGGAAGCUAGCCAUUGAGAACACUAUGGCUUAAUUAGGUAUGAAUGGAAAGAAUCUCAGAAAUGUUUACUGGAAAUCCUGGCCCCUUCAGUGAAGGUGGUGGAACCAAUAUACCAACAUGCUCAACAGUGGUCUUGCCAUGAAGACUAGCGAGAUCUCUAUGACCCAGAGUGGUGGUGUUCCCACCCUCCCAGUUUCUGUGGGGGCCAACUCUGCUGUGAAUAACACUGCUGAGUCCAAGAUGGAUGGCUCCCAGUCAGGUAUCAGUGCCAAUGUGGAAAAACCAGGUGCUACUGAGACUGUUCCCACACAUUGGUUCCCUCACUUCCUGGAAGAAAACAAGAUUGUGGUC
rnacentral:lncRNA from 1 species